AGGACGAACGCUGGCGGCCGUGCCUAACACAUGCAAGUCGAGCGAUGAAGUCCUCGGAACGGAUAGCGGCGGACGGGUGAGUAACACGUGGGUAACCUGCCUCCAAAGAGGGGGGAUAGCCUCCCGAAAGGGAGAUUAAUACCGCAUAACAUAUUUCUCGCAUGAGAAGAUAAUCAAAGGGAGUAAUCCGCUUUGAGAUGGACCCGCGGCGCAUUAGCUAGUUGGUGAGGUAACGGCUCACCAAGGCGACCGAUGCGUAGCCGACCUGAGAGGGUGAUCGGCCACAUUGGAACUGAGACACGGUCCAGACUCCUACGGGAGGCAGCAGUGGGGAAUAUUGCGCAAUGGGGGAAACCCUGACGCCAGCAACGCCGCGUGAGUGAUGAAGGUCUUCGGAUUGUAAAGCUCUGUCUUUGGGGACGAUAAUGACGGUACCCAAGGAGGAAGCCACGGCUAACUACGUGCCAGCCGCCGC
rnacentral:rRNA from 1 species